AAACAUGCAAACAAAGAAAUGGGAGAAAGGGCAACAGAAUUAAAAUUCUAAGGUUUCCAUUACAGUCUUAUGUGCAUUUUAAAUGAAUGGCUUAUAAAAAAUAAAAACAAAUUUCUACGAAGUUGAAUACUUUAAGCUAUUCGAAAUUUUUUGAAAAUGCUAAAUAUAAUUACUCAGAGACUCUUCUAGAAAGAAAAAACUGCGUAAGAAUCCAUCUAUUCUAAAAAUUCAAAAUAAACCAUAUUCAAGUAAAAUCAGUAUCAUACUGUUAUGUACAAAACUCAAAAAUUAAAACUAAAAUAUAUCCUUUCUUCACUUAAUAAGUAUUUCAUAAAUGAUGCCAGCAGUAUUCCAAUAAAUGCACUUUCAAGACUGAAGAGUUUAGAAGUGUUUUUUCAUUAGUGUUUGCAAGAGUAAAUGGUACUACAGUUCGGCACUAAUUUAAUAUGUGAGAACAGUGAAGCUACUAUUAUCUGGAUUUUAAAAUAUGUACCCAUUCCUAUUUCUCUCCAAUCAUUGUAAGAACACAAUAUUAAGUUCUCAUAAAUAACUUUUUCUUUUUGAAGCAUACAAUUUGAUUUCCUAAAAAAAAAAAAAAAAACUUCAUCAUCAUCAUAGGUUUAAAAUAAUUUUAAAUUCAACCACUUGUUUCAAAUACUUGUAAAAAUUACUUUUUUCUAUCUGAACCAUACAAGUGUCUUAAUGUUGUCCAAAUUAUUGAUUAUGCAGCACAGUGACAAUAAUAUGUACAGUGUUUACAAUAGGUGUGAGACAUCAAAUGUACUUAACUACCAUUUUCUUAAACUGCUUAUCCUCUGUUGCUUGCCAUUUAUAAUCUGCCAAAUCUUCUAGUCCUUUGUUGCAUGUAUAAUUUAGAACCAUCUGUUCUAUGUGCUUUUAACUAUUUAAACAUUUUUCACCUACCUACAAUUCACAUAAAUGGCAGACAUUCAACUUUCUAUAUAGCAUAUUACAUGAAGCAAAUUCCUGGAUAAAUAACACCAAAGAAGACUGCUACAGAAAUAAAAACAUACCAUAUAGAACAUAAAUUUUUGUGUUAGACAAAUCUUUUCAAUGUAUUCAGAAUUGUUUCUAUUAGCUUUUUUUAAGUUAAUUGUAGUCAGUGUUUUUCCCUCAACCCAGAAGACAAAGAGAAUGCAAAUUAAAUACAGACAGUUUCAUGUCCUUGUUAGAAGAGACGUAAAUAUGCUGACUGAAAAUGACUACAGGAGACAGAAUUCCACUUUCCCAUUCAAUUUACAGUGCCUCUUAUUUAUAUACUAGUCAGUGUAUCAUUAAGUUUGGUCAUGUGACCAAACCAACUUUUGUGAGGCGAAAAACUAUGUUAGACAAGCAAAUUAAAACAGUGCUAGUUUUUAUUGUUUAUCUGUUCAUAAUGGCUGACAAAGAGUUUAUAGAUAGCGAUUAUAUCUUUUAAAAUCAAUUCUGCCUCUUAAAUACUCAAUUGUUUGACUUAAUAUCUGCUACUAAAUUUUAAAAGUAUCCAUUAUCUUAAGGUAUUUUCCAUAGUCAUUUCUCUUCAAAAUCUAAAUAAUAGAAAAAAAAAACCUCACAUCAUUUUAUUAUAAACGGGGAGCCAGAUAAUCUAAAAUAACCAUACAUAAAUAUUAACCAAGCUAAUUUUCAAAAAAUCCAUAGGGGAGAGUAGAACAAAUAAAAAAGGGAUAUACUGACUACAGGUAACAGUUGAAACCUUUAAAUUGAAAAAAAUACACAAAAACUAGGUAAAUAACAAAUGACGCACAAAAGUUUACCAUUUUUUGCACAAAAUCUUCCACCUGUUACCAAAACAUACAAUACGCAGACUUCGUAUACUCAUUUUGAGAGCAAAACACAAAUAUAAGCCACACAACUUAUCAGUAACCUGUAAGUUACACAAUCCUAUACAACAGGAGAAAAAUUAAGCAAAAAAUGUACUCUUGGGAAAAUUUCUCCAUAAAGUUUACAUGACGUCACUGGGCCCCCGGAACAUUCCCUAAACUUUGAGCCUUAUCCAGACACACUUCCUAAUGCUUCUUUCCUUUCCUCAAAAAUAAAAAAGAGACUUGGGAAUAAAAUUGCCCAAGAUGGCGAAACGCUUGUUGUUUAGAGGGCAGGGAAAAAAAUGGAGGAUAUUGUAAUAUACACAAAGGGAUAAAUUUCAACAACUCGGCCAAGGACUGCAGCUGCUUCCCUCUUUAUAAGGAAGCAACAGACAAAAGAUAAAUACAGAGGGAGAAAGAAAAGAAGAGAAAAUCUCCCAAACAACAGACCCAGCUCUGACUCUUCAAACACUUCCUUCCCCUUCCCAAAUCCCAAUUCUGGGGUUCGUGAAACUACUUAAAGGGGAGGGAGCCGCGAAAGAGAACGGGGGCGGGGGGGAGGGGUAACGAGAAGAUUAAAAGAGGGAAGCAGAGGAGUUGGGAGCUGGCGGUCGUUCCCGGGGAAGAACUGCUAAAAGAUGAGACCAAGGCACAGACCUUACUGUAUGAGAAGCAAUGCUCCUCAAACCUUCUGCGUCCUGACAUAGACCUUCCCAGGGAGUGGGGGAGCAGCGGAUAUUCCGGGGUAGGAACGGCCAUCGCAACGCUGACAGAGGUGGUUUUUGAAGAAGCAAAACUGUUGGCCGCGACCGAGCGCUGGAAGCCGAAGGGGAAGAGGAAGGAGACGCGAAGCCAAGGCGGCCGGCACAAAGGCGGCGGACUCGCGGCGGCAGCGCCUGCCCGGCCGGGAGCACACCCCGCGGCCCUACUCCAGCGAAGUCCCGCACCGGCUUCUAGGAAUAAAGUUUACGUUCUCCUGAUGCCGCACCCCCCACCUCCCACCCAGGACGACACAUCUCCGCGGCCUCCUCCCCCAAACUCCACUCGGGACCCCGAGAACCACCCCAGCCUUCCGGCCACCACAACAAAGAGCCGCACCGACCGGCGAGGGUAAACAGCGGCGGAGGGCGAGAGGGCGGCGGGGCGAGCGCCUCCACGCAGCAACUCCGGAGUCCCCCGCUUGCCCGAGCGCAGUUUCUCCGCUGCUGUUUCCACCAGCUUUGUAACACUGGGAAUUUACAUCCUCACCCGCACCCCUCACGCCCGAAGAUUUUAAACUCACCUUUACUUUCGAACUGAGAGUUGCGGUAGAUGGGAUUUUUGCCUUUUCCCCAGAUGGUUGAAGGUUAAGAUUUUUGGAAACCCCACCACCUCCUUAUUUCUAUUAUUAUUUCUGCAAGAAAAGUAUAAAGAGAGUUGUAGUGGAGGUGAGAUUUGUGAUCGGGAAAGCCCUCGACUCCCUCCUUCUCCGUCUUCCGCCUCUCUCUCUCUGAUUAGUUCCUAUCCAGCAGCAGAUUGAAGCAGGAGAUGAUUCUUCUCAAGGUUUGUUCAGCAGCUUCACUUCUAGGCGAAGGCUUCAUGAACCAAGUGACGUCAACCAACAAGGCUUCUCUCUCUCUCCUCUCUCUAACAAUGAAAGUUGCUGUUAACAAGGGAAAAAAAGAGAGAGAAUUGUUUAUACCAUUUCAGUUCCAAUAAUAAAUGACCUAUCAGCUCCUAAAGGAGCUAAGGGAGGGGGUUGCUGCUUCUUUCCAAGAAUACUGUAGCUUUGAGUUUGCACCGUUCCUUGUCCCAGGAAAAAGUUAAGCAACUUAAAAUGUUUUGUUUUGCUUUUAAAGAAGACAGGACAGAAAAUGGGACUUAAAACUUAGUUUUUUAAAAACAAAAGCUACAGAGUAGGGAGCAUAGGUCAACUACCAUCUCCACCUAAACUUUUUUUUGUUCCUAAACUCAGAAUUCUACAAACCAAAUAAAUUAAUAUGCCGAGAUUUCGCGGAUGUUAAAACUCAAAAAGCAGGAUGCAAGAUGGUCCCGGGGUAAAAUUCUACUGCCUUUCUACGAACAAGUUAAACUGGCUGUAAUGUUUACGCACUAAGUUAAAAUAAAAUUUAAAUAAAAGACGUUAAAA